rnacentral:misc_RNA from 1 species
UCUUGGGAAUCAAGCUUGACAGGAGGGUUGCCCGGGAGAUGGAGGACGCCUUCGACCAAGCAACCGUUUUUGCCAAGAACCUCUAGGGCGAAACGACGGCGAGUGAAGUCGUAGAAGAUGCGAGCGUGGUGGCGGGAGAUGUUCAUGCCACCACCGAGGCUGGAGAGGUCAACGUCGACGGUGGAUUUCUUGGAAUUGCGGCC